rnacentral:rRNA from 1 species
AUUGAACGCUGGCGGCAUGCCUUACACAUGCAAGUCGAACGGCAGCACGGGUGCUUGCACCUGGUGGCGAGUGGCGAACGGGUAAGUAAUAUAUCGGAACGUACCUUAUUGUGGGGGAUAACGCAGCGAAAGCUGUGCUAAUACCGCAUAAUCCCUAAGGGGGAAAGCGGGGGACCGUAAGGCCUCGCGCAAUUAGAGCGGCCGAUACCUGAUUAGCUAGUUGGUGAGGUAAAGGCUCACCAAGGCAACGAUCAGUAGCUGGUCUGAGAGGACGAUCAGCCCCAAUGGGGCUGAGACACGGCCCAGACUCCGACGGGAGGCAGCAGUGGGGAAUUUUGGACAAUGGGGGCAACCCUGAUCCAGCAAUGCCGCGUGAGUGAAGAAGUCCUUCGGGUUGUAAAGCUCUUUUGUCAGGGAAGAAACAGCAGCUCUAACACAGUCCGGGAAUGACGGUACCUGAAGAAUAAGCACCGGCUAACUACGUGCCAGCCGCCGCCGUAA